rnacentral:rRNA from 1 species
GACUAACGUUGGCGGCGUGCCCAAUACAUGCAAGUCGAACGCUCUGGUAGCAAUAUCGGGGAGUGGCGAACGGGUGAGUAACACGUGGAUGAUCUACCUCUGAGAUUGAGAUAACCCAUCGAAAGGUGGGCUAAUACCGAAUAUGACUACGAUCCGUAUCCGGAAUGUAGUAAAAGGCGGGGACCGCAAGGCCUGCCACUUAGAGAUGAGUCUGCGGCUGAUAGCUAGUUGGCGGGGUAAUGGCCCACCAAGGCAACGAUCAGUAGCGGCCUGAGAGGGUGUACGGCCACACUGGAACUGAGACACGGUCCAGACUCCUACGGGAGGCAGCAGUAGGGAAUUUUCCGCAAUGGCGAAAGCCUGACGGAGCAACGCCGCGUGAGGGAUGAAGGUUUUCGGAUCGUAAACCUCUUUUGGAGCGAGACGAACGAGCUUUCGGUUAACAAUCGGAGGCAAUGACUGUAUCGCUAG